CGGAGGCCGACUUGAAGCAAGUCUUUCUGACCCAUCUACAGAAAAAGAGAGAUUAAUUCUCUCCCUGGUCCCCCUCUUCCUUCCCUUUCCUCUCUCCUUUCUCUGCCCCUCCAUAUACCCUUGUAUAACCACAGGUAAGUAUAUAAAAUGUUUUGUGGGUACCAUCAUUGAUGGUAACUGCCAGAUAUUUCCAGCAUUCGCCUCCAUCGCCUUUGGUAGGUCUGAGGAUGGAACUCGGGUCUUUAGGCUUUGUGACAAGUAACUUUACCUGCAAAGUCAUCUAGACAACAAACAGAUGGUAUGAUUUUUUGGCUGUCUAUAAGUGAAACCCA
rnacentral:lncRNA from 1 species